AUUGAACGCUGGCGGCAUGCCUUACACAUGCAAGUCGAACGGCAGCACGGACUUCGGUCUGGUGGCGAGUGGCGAACGGGUGAGUAAUAUAUCGGAACAUACCCUAGAGUGGGGGAUAACGUAGCGAAAGUUACGCUAAUACCGCAUACGAACUAAGGUUGAAAGUGGGGGAUCGCAAGACCUCAUGCUCAUGGAGUGGCCGAUAUCUGAUUAGCUAGUUGGUGAGGUAAAGGCUCACCAAGGCGACGAUCAGUAGCUGGUCUGAGAGGACGACCAGCCACACUGGAACUGAGACACGGUCCAGACUCCUACGGGAGGCAGCAGUGGGGAAUUUUGGACAAUGGGGGGCAACCCUGAUCCAGCAAUGCCGCGUGAGUGAAGAAGGCCCUCGGGUUGUAAAGCUCUUUUGUCAGGGAAGAAAAGGUUGUGGCUAAUAUCCAUGACUCAUGACGGUACCUGAAGAAUAAGCACCGGCUAACUACGUGCCAGCAGCC
rnacentral:rRNA from 1 species